GGAGAGUAACACGUGGGUAACCUGCCUGUAAGACUGGGAUAACUCCGGGAAACCGGAGCUAAUACCGGAUAGUUCCUUGAACCGCAUGGUUCAAGGAUGAAAGACGGUUUCGGCUGUCACUUACAGAUGGACCCGCGGCGCAUUAGCUAGUUGGUGGGGUAAUGGCUCACCAAGGCGACGAUGCGUAGCCGACCUGAGAGGGUGAUCGGCCACACUGGGACUGAGACACGGCCCAGACUCCUACGGGAGGCAGCAGUAGGGAAUCUUCCGCAAUGGACGAAAGUCUGACGGAGCAACGCCGCGUGAGUGAUGAAGGUUUUCGGAUCGUAAAGCUCUGUUGUUAGGGAAGAACAAGUGCGAGAGUAACUGCUCGCACCUUGACGGUACCUAACCAGAAAGCCACGGCUAACUACGUGCCAGCAGCCGCGGUAAUACGUAGGUGGCAAGCGUUGUCCGGAAUUAUUGGGCGUAAAGGGCUCGCAGGCGGUUUCUUAAGUCUGAUGUGAAAGCCCCCGGCUCACCGGGGAGGGUCAUUGGAAACUGGGAAACUUUGAGUGCAGAAGAGGAGAGUGGAAUUCCACGUGUAGCGGUGAAAUGCGUUAAAGAUGUGGAGGAACACCCA
rnacentral:rRNA from 1 species